GUGCUCACUUCAGCAACACAUAUACUAAAAUUGGAAAGAUAUAGAGAAGAUUAGUAUGGUCCCUGUGCAAGGAUGACACAGAAAAUCAUGAAGCAUUCCAUAUUUUU
rnacentral:snRNA from 1 species